CUCCUACGGGAGGCAGCAGUGGGGGAUAUUGCGCAAUGGGGGCAACCCUGACGCAGCAACGCCGCGUGAAGGAUGAAGGUUUUCGGAUUGUAAACUUCUUUUAUUAAGGACGAAAAUUGACGGUACUUAAUGAAUAAGCUCCGGCUAACUACGUGCCAGCAGCCGCCGGUAAAACGUAGGUCACAAGCGUUGUCCGGAAUUACUGGGUGUAAAGGGAGCGCAGGCGGGAAGACAAGUUGGAAGUGAAAUCUAUGGGCUCAACCCAUAAACUGCUUUCAAAACUGUUUUUCUUGAGUAGUGCAGAGGUAGGCGGAAAUUCCCGGUGUAGCGGUGGAAUGCGUAGAUAUCGGGAGGAACACCAGUGGCGAAGGCGGCCUACUAGGCACCAACUGACGCUGAGGCUCGAAAGUGUGGGUAGCAAACAGGAUUAGAUACCCUGGUAGUCCACACCGUAAACGAUGAUUACUAGGUGUUGGAGGAUUGACCCCUUCAGUGACCGCAGUUUAACACAAUAAGUAAUCCACCUGGGGAGUACGACCGCAAGGUUGAAACUCAAAGGAAUUGACGGGGCGCCCGCACAAGCAGUGGAGUAUGUGGUUUAAUUCGACGCAACGCGAAGAACCUUACCAAGUCUUGACAUCCUGCGACGAUGCUGGAAACAGUAUUUUCUUCGGGACGCAGAGACAGGUGGUGCAUGGUUGUCGUCAGCUCGUGUCGUGAGAUGUUGGGUUAAGUCCCGCAACGAGCGCAACCCUUACUGUCAGUUACUACGCAAGAGGACUCUGGCAGGACUGCCGUUGACAAAACGGAGGAAGGUGGGGAUGACGUCAAAUCAUCAUGCCCUUUAUGACUUGGGCUACACACGUACUACAAUGGCGUUAAACAAAGAGAAGCAAGACCGCGAGGUGGAGCAAAACUCAGAAACAACGUCCCAGUUCGGACUGCAGGCUGCAACUCGCCUGCACGAAGUCGGAAUUGCUAGUAAUCGUGGAUCAGCAUGCCACGGUGAAUACGUUCCCGGGCCUUGUACACACCGC
rnacentral:rRNA from 1 species